rnacentral:rRNA from 1 species
GACGAACGCUGGCGGCGUGCUUAACACAUGCAAGUCGAACGGAAAGGCCCUGCUUUUGUGGGGUGCUCGAGUGGCGAACGGGUGAGUAACACGUGAGUAACCUGCCCUUGACUUUGGGAUAACUUCAGGAAACUGGGGCUAAUACCGGAUAGGAGCUCCUGCUGCAUGGUGGGGGUUGGAAAGUUUCGGCGGUUGGGGAUGGACUCGCGGCUUAUCAGCUUGCUGGUGGGGUAGUGGCUUACCAAGGCUUUGACGGGUAGCCGGCCUGAGAGGGUGACCGGGCACAUUGGGACUGAGAUACGGACCAGACUCCUACGGGAGGCAGCAGUGGGGAAUAUUGCACAAUGAGCGGAAGCCUGAUGCAGCAACGCCGCGUGCGGGAUGACGGCCUUCGGGUUGUAAACCGCUUUCGCCUGUGACGAAGCGUGAGUGACGGUAAUGGGUGAAGAAGCACCGGCUAACUACGUG